UACGAAGGGGGGCUAGCGUUGUUCGGAAUUACUGGGCGUAAAGCGCACGUAGGCGGACAUUUAAGUCAGGGGUGAAAUCCCAGAGCUCAACUCUGGAACUGCCUUUGAUACUGGGUGUCUAGAGUAUGGAAGAGGUGAGUGGAAUUCCGAGUGUAGAGGUGAAAAUUCGUAGAUAUUCGGAGGAACACCAGUGGCGAAGGCGGCUCACUGGUCCAUUACUGACGCUGAGGUGCGAAAGCGUGGGGAGCAAACAGG
rnacentral:rRNA from 1 species